rnacentral:rRNA from 1 species
GAUGAACGCUGGCGGCGUGCCUAAUACAUGCAAGUCGAGCGAACAGACGAGGAGCUUGCUCCGCUGACGUUAGCGGCGGACGGGUGAGUAACACGUGGAUAACCUACCUGUAAUACUGGGAUAACUUCGGGAAACCGGAUCUAAUACCGGAUAAUAUAUUGAACCGCAUGGUUCAAUAGUGAAAGACGGUUUUGCUGUCACUUAUAGAUGGAUCCGCGCCGCAUUAGCUAGUUGGUAAGUUAACGGCUUACCAAGGCAACGAUGCGUAGCCGACCUGAGAGGGUGAUAGGCGACACUGGAGCUGAGCCACGGUCCAGACUCCUACGGGAGGCAGCAAUAGGGAAUCUUACGCAAAGGGCGAAAGCAUGACGGAGCAACGGCGAGUGAGUGAUGACGGUCUUCGGAUCGUAAAACUCUGUUAUUAGGGAAGAACCACUGUGUAAGUAAAUAUGCACGUCUUGACGGUAACUAAUAAGAAAGCCCCGGCUAACUACGUG